rnacentral:tRNA from 1 species
GACCUCGUAGCUCGAUUGGUAGAGCAUUGGACUAGUACCCCAAAGGUCGCGGGUUCGAUUCCCACCGUGGUCA